rnacentral:rRNA from 1 species
GAGUUUGAUCUUGGCUCAGAUUGAACGCUGGCGGCAGGCCUAACACAUGCAAGUCGAGCGGAUGACGGGAGCUUGCUCCUUGAUUCAGCGGCGGACGGGUGAGUAAUGCCUAGGAAUCUGCCUGGUAGUGGGGGACAACGUUUCGAAAGGAACGCUAAUACCGCAUACGUCCUACGGGAGAAAGCAGGGGACCUUCGGGCCUUGCGCUAUCAGAUGAGCCUAGGUCGGAUUAGCUAGUUGGUGGGGUAAUGGCUCACCAAGGCGACGAUCCGUAACUGGUCUGAGAGGAUGAUCAGUCACACUGGAACUGAGACACGGUCCAGACUCCUACGGGAGGCAGCAGUGGGGAAUAUUGGACAAUGGGCGAAAGCCUGAUCCAGCCAUGCCGCGUGUGUGAAGAAGGUCUUCGGAUUGUAAAGCACUUUAAGUUGGGAGGAAGGGCAGUAAGUUAAUACCUUGCUGUUUUGACGUUACCGACAGAAUAAGCACCGGCUAACUCUGUGCCAGCCGCCGACGG